GGGCAUCAUCAAGAAUCAGCAUGGCUGAUACCAACCGAGUCAAACACCACGGUGGUCCAUCGAUGAGGGUCAUUGCAGACCAAAAAUGUUUACCUGC
rnacentral:ncRNA from 1 species